CAGUCGCCGCGGUAAUACGGAGGGAGCUAGCGUUGUUCGGAAUUACUGGGCGUAAAGCGCGCGUAGGCGGUUACUCAAGUCAGAGGUGAAAGCCCGGGGCUCAACCCCGGAACUGCCUUUGAAACUAGGUGACUAGAAUCUUGGAGAGGUCAGUGGAAUUCCGAGUGUAGAGGUGAAAUUCGUAGAUAUUCGCAGGAACACCAGUGGCGAAGGCGGCUAACUGGUCCAUAACUGACGCUGAGGUGCGAAAGCGUGGGGAGCAAACAGGAUUAGAUACCCCUGUAGUCCCUGUCUCUUAUAC
rnacentral:rRNA from 1 species